CGCCUCUAGAGGAAAAAUUAGAGGUUCAUCCUGCCCUAUGAAUAGAUUUAAAUGGCCGCGGUAUUUUGACCGUGUUAAGGUAGCAUAAUAAUUUGCUUUUUAAUUGAAGGCUUGUAUGAAUGGAUAAACGAGAAUAAAGCUGUCUCAAUUUUAGUAAUAUAAAUUAAUAUUCAAAUGAAGAAGUUUGAAUGAUAUAAAAAGACAAGAAGACCCUGUUGAGCUUUAUUUAUUAUAAAAUAUAGUAAAAUUAAUUAUUAAUUAUUUUAAAUAUAAAUUUAAUUGGGGUGAUUGAGGAAGAAAAAAAAUCUUCCUAGAUAUUUAAAGAUUUUUAAAUCUUAUUGUGUAUCCAUAAAAAUGAAUAAAUAAUAAGCUACCACAGGGAUAACAGGCUAAUUUCUUUUGAGAGUUCAUAUCGAAAAAGAAGUUUGGCACCUCGAUGUUGGCUUAGGAUAAGAGUUAAAUGCAGAAGUUUAAUAGGCUGGGUUUGUUCAACCCUUAAAUUCCU
rnacentral:rRNA from 1 species